GACGAAGGUGGCGAGCUUUGUUCGGAAUCACUGGGCAUAAAGCGCACGUAGGCGGCGGCGUAAGUUGGAUGUGAAAUCCCCCGGCCCAACCGGGGAACUGCGUCCAGUACUGCGUUGCUUGAGGAUCCAAGGGGUGCAUGGAAUUCCCGGUGGAGCGGUGAAAUGCGUUGAUAUCGGGAGGAACUCCGGCGGCGAAAGCGGUGCACUGGUGGAUUACUGACGCUGAGGUGCGAAAGCCAGGGGAGCAAACGGG
rnacentral:rRNA from 1 species